ACAUACAUACAUACAUACACACACACACACAUAUUAAAAAUACCUUUCUUGUCUUACUCUAUCAAGAGAAAAGCUGGGGGUUUUAUAUCGGGUGAGAUGACUGUAAAUUAAUAUGAAGCUUCUGAAACAGAGAGGUGACGUGGGAACAGGACUCAAACACACUUUUACUUCUGACCAGCCAUUUUUGAGAUUCAAAUCUUCUCUGUAUUGUAUAUGAGCCGUCGAAUCCUCUUGAUAGCAACUGUUUCAUAGGAAAUAAAUACAAACCAGUGCUAAAAUGA